ensembl:lncRNA
GUGUGUGUGUGUGUGUGUGUGUGUGUGUGUGUGUGUGUGUGUGUGUGUGUGUGUGUGUGUGCGUCUCUAAUGCUCGGUCUGUUUACAACACUCCCCCCCUCCCCCUCCCCUCCCUCCCCGACAGCAGUCUACAUCACCAGCAGCACAACACAUUCCUGCCUUCCUUACCCCUCUAUGACCCACCUCCCGUACCCUGCAGCAUUACCUCCAUGGCCCCUGCUACCUCUUCUCCCUCUCUCCCCGGUCGGGGCGCUACAGCCCGCUAACGGUUAGCACGCGUGGGUGUGACGUUCAUAGACGAGAGAGAGAGAGCCGUCGAAUAGGAAUGAAAGUGAUUGUGUGUAGGAUUUUGUUGUCGAGGGGCGGGGAAGAUCAUUGUCGCCUUGUGUGUCGAGUUUUGUUUGCUAAUCCGAGUUAAUGUCGUCUUUUAAUUGCUGAUGUUUGAGAACUGCAUCUAUACCCGGGCGUUCAACCGCAUGCAUUCAAGCUUGCAUCUCCUAAACGGGCUUGCCAUGUCGGCUCAUUAUCCCAGGUGUUCCUCUUCAUGAAAUCUAAAAGGUUCAUUUUGCUGCUGUUAUUUUCUUUUUUUAAAUCACUUCCUCUGUACUCCAUGACUCGGAUUGCAUGCCUCAAAGGAAAGCGACUGCUCUCGGAGGAUGGUCGUGCAUUUCACCUCAGUGCUGGGUAUCCACAUGUAGUCCGAGGGAGGGUAGGUGUCGUACUGCAUGUCUGUUUGUGUUUUGGGCAAGAUGGCAAUAGGCUGGGAUGAGGUAUGGAAGGUGGUCUUGAUUAAGCCUGUAAAGAAAUGCAUGGGAGAGCAAACACGAACCCAUCAAUCCUCAACUGUAUGGAGAUAUCAUGUAGUCUGAAAGACCGACGCCUUGUGAACGAUUUUAGUCCGGAGUGUGCUCAAAGUCUCUUUAGCAAACCCUCAACGCCUGCUAUCUGUGGAAUCCAAACCCGCCAGAAAACCACCGCCAAAACAAUGGUUCCACUAUCUGUCUCAAGGCAGUGAUUUAGGGAGGGAGUCUUCGUAUCGAAAGGACAAAAAAGCUAGUUUGAUCAUGAGUUAAUCUUAAAACUUAAAUUUAUAUCAAAAAGAAAUCUUGCUUUUAAAAAUAUUUCUGAUCAUUUCUUUUGAAUAUUCAGGGGACAUAGUAGUGAAUGUACAAUAUGUUGUGCCUUUUUUCUUUUUUCUUUUAUUUUGUAGAUUCUUUUGUGCCAUAAAAGUCUACACAUUGUAUCUUAAUAUCAAAUAAAUUUCACCUCAAAACCCUUUCAAGAUCAUGCCUCAUCUGCCACAUGCAUACUUUUGCGUAUUGAAGUUUUCCAAAAAGGAAAAAAUUAACUGGCCUUUAAAUCCCCAUUUUUCCUUCAGACUAAUAAAUGUGCUCAUGUUCUGGCCCUGCUUCCUCGUCUGUGUCCCACUUUCCUUCUGGUGAAUCCACCUAUAAACCGCCUUCUCCCUCACUCCCUUUAGCCUGUGGUCUUUCUGAUGGAUUGGAGGUAACCCUGAAUGUCACUUUAUAUCAUGCAUAAAGGAUAACACAUUUAUUAGGUAUGUGGAAAAUCAAUUCACGUGAUGAAUAAAAAAAAAGGCCUGCCAAAAACAUCCAUGUUUCCUUGGGUGCAAAUGAACGGUGCAGUGCUUCAGAGCAUUCGCUAAUGGUGAACUUAUCAAUUAUGUGCUGUUUUUUUUCAGACAGGUAAAGUAAAAAACAAGGCCGGACACCGAC